GAUGAAGAACGCAGCGAAAUGCGAUAAGUAAUGUGAAUUGCAGAAUUCAGUGAAUCAUCGAAUCUUUGAACGCACAUUGCGCCCCUUGGUAUUCCGAGGGGCAUGCCUGUUCGAGCGUCAUAUUAACCACUCCCGCUUGCGGGGUCUUGGGCUUCGCCUCCGGGCGGGCCUUAAAAUCAGUGGCGGUGCCGUCGGGCUCUACGCGUAGUAAAUUUUCUCGCGAUAGGGUCCCGGUGGAUGCUUGCCAACAACCCCCAACUUCUUAAGGUUGACCUCGGAUCAGGUAGGGAUACCCGCUGAACUUAAGCAUAUCAAUAAGCGGAGGA
rnacentral:misc_RNA from 1 species